GUAAAAUUAGACCUGAGUCGGUGUGGUCUUGCUCGAAUGUGUUUUUUCAUUGGUAGGAAUCGAUAAGAGAGUGUAAUUUUGUUUCGCUGAUAUCAUGAUGUAGUUUCUUUCGCAGUUUUCCCCAGUUUUUGUAUUGCCAGUGUAGUCUACGUGAUAACAUACCGCAAUUCAAAACACGCUGAACGAUUGGAAAUUCAUUGCAUCGGCAAUGCACACACAACCAUCGGAUAAUUCAUUACAACAACUAACAUAAAUGCAUGCCACCGGUGCAAUGCAUGCCCACACAGGGUUACGCGUAGGUUACAAAGGUACCACCGCGUGAUGUGGCAGCUACGAAAACGUUGACUCUGCUGCUGAUCGUGUCGUGUGUAUCGACCAACCGGUUGGUUGUUGCCUGGGAUUGAUGCCUUCAAAAUCGAGGUGCUCAUGCGCCCACUUUGUUUUACGCGCCGCCCCGUCAGUCAAUCAUACAUCAUCCAAAACAUAGAAUCUUCAAACGAAACGAAAACAGGAGAGGCAGAAAACGGCGAAACAGGUUUUUAAUAAUAUAAAUAAUUCAAUUACCGCCGCUUGCCGGCGCAAUUCGCUACACGAGAACACGAUGGAGAGUUACGAAAAAGCGCGAACAAAUAAAUAUUACAUGUU